rnacentral:rRNA from 1 species
GAACGCGAAAGUCCCGCAAGGGAUCAGUAGAGUGGCAAACGGGUGAGUAACGCGUGGGCGACCUACCUUCGAGUGGGGGAUAACCUUCCGAAAGGAGGGCUAAUACCGCAUGACAUUCUUUGUUUGGAUACAGGGAAAUCAAAGCCGGGGAUCGCAAGACCUGGCGCUUGGAGAGGGGCCCGCGUCCGAUUAGCUAGUUGGUGAGGUCACGGCUCACCAAGGCUCCGAUCGGUAUCCGGCCUGAGAGGGCGGACGGACACACUGGGACUGAGACACGGCCCAGACUCCUACGGGAGGCAGCAGUGGGGAAUUGUUCGCAAUGGGCGCAAGCCUGACGACGCAACGCCGCGUGGAGGAUGAAGACCUUCGGGUCGUAAACUCCUUUCGACCGAGAUGAAUUCCUGCCGGCCUAACAUGCCGGGAGGUUGACAGUAUCGAGGGAAGCAGCCCCGGCUAACUCCGUG